CAAAUCACAAUUAAAUGAUAUAAUAAAUAAGAAAACCAAAUUCCUUAUACACAGACUCCGACAAGAACAAUUUCACCAUAGCAACAAAUCUGGAAAAUACUUAGCAAACUUAAUCAACGCAAACAAAGAAAAAACUUCCAUCCCCGUCAUCAAGGACUCAGCAGGGAAGUCAAAACAAGCACCACUGGAAAUCAAUAAAUUCUUUAAAGACUUUUAUACAAAACUAUAUUCAUCUGAAAUAAACCCUGCUCAAGACCAGAUCGAACCCUUUUUUAAUGAUAUCACUAUACCACAACUUUCUCCUGAUCAAUCUGCCAUACUUGAAGUUCCAUUGACUAAAGAACAAUUAUUCCAUGCUCUCGAACUCAUGCUUAUCAACAAAUCACCCGAUGGCUUCCCUGCUGAGUUCUAUAAGCACUUCUGGCCCAUUCUCACCCCACUCUUUACAAGACGUAUUAUCGAAAUAAAACAAACCUCAAAAUUGCCACCAACAAUGAAUACAGACAUAAUUUCAGUGAUUCUCAAACCCGGCAAAGACCCAUCCCUACCCUCAAGCUACCGUCCAAUUUCUCUCAAAUGCCAACAUCAAAAUUAUCACCAAAGUACUUGCAUGCAGAAAAAGUAAUGCCAUCCAUAAUCCAUCCAGACCAGACCGGUUUCAUUAAAGGCAGACACUCCUCCAACAACACAUGCAGACUCUACAACAUAAUUGACUACUCCUCCAAGCACCAUGUACAUCAUAACCACACUAGAUGCAGAAAAGGCAUUUGACAGGGAUAGCUGGUCAUUUCUCAUAUCAACUAUGUAUAAAUUUGGCUUUGGGGAAUCAUUUAUUAACUGGAUAAAAAUUCUAUAUACAGCACCUUCAGCCACUGUUAUCACCAAUGGACUAACUUCACAACCUUUCACAAUUCACAGGGGAACUAGGCAAGGGUGCCCACUCUCUCCCUUCCUGUUUACAAUAUUCAUUUAACCCCUAGCCACAGCCAUAUGCCAAAAUUCCAACAUCAAGGGAAUUCAAUCACAGAACAUACACCACAAAAUCAGCCUUUAUGCAGAUGAUAUCUUACUUUUCCUACAAAACCCCCACACAUCCCUUCAAGAGACAAUUAAAACCAUUGAAUCAUUUUCCAACAUCUCUGAAUACUCCAUUAACUGGCAAAAAUCCUCAGUUCUCCCACUAUACAGUAACAGCGGGGGUAUGGCAACCCAGGCACUUCCCAUUCCUUUAAGCAUGUAUAACAUCACGUAUCUGGGUAUCAACAUUUCCCCCAGGCUGUCAGAGUUGCUUAGUCUAAAUUACACAUCAUUACUGAAAUCUGUAUCCGACAGUCUCCUCCGCUGGAUGAACUUACCACUUUCAUUAUUGGGCUGUAUAGCACUGAUUAAAAUAACAAUACUUCUACAAAAUCACAAACUCAUCAGCUUUCAACUUCACACCACUCUGGAACAAUCCUGACUUUCUCAGUAAUAAAAAAAAAAAUUCCACCUUCUGAGACUGACACAUUAAUACAUCACAUUAAUAAUUUGUAAGAUCAGAACUGAGAUGAACCAGGGAGAAGAGUGUCGUCUGUUGUAUGAAGAAGAAUAAGGCUUUCGACAUUAAUGUGAGUCCAGGUUCUCGCUGAUGAUAAUGAACCAUACCUUAUUUCUCCAUCUGACUGAUUUAAAAUUAGUCGAUAGUGGAAGCUACAAAUGUGAGCGUUCAUAUUGUGGUGGAACAGAUUUUCUCCAUCUGAAUAUCACUGUGAAAGGUAAGAGAUUCAUUUAUUUUGUAGUAAUCACAUAAUUUAAAACUUAAAUAAAAAAAAAAAAACAACAACUGUGGUAUACCUAAUCCACUGGCAUUAAAUAUCAACAAAAUAAAUGGUAGUAAUUCAAUGUUUGAUGAUGAUGCGUUAGUUUUGUGUAAUGUUGAGAACUAUCUUAAUGUUGGUCAUUAAUGUUUAAAACCUGUUCUACAUUUCUAAUCUAAUUUUAUGUGUCAACAUUUAAGAGGAUGAAGAUGAAGUCCCGGCCACAGCUACACAUAUUCCUCCCUUAUGUUUAUGUUGGAGUCACUAUAUUCAUAAUAGUAAUUUGCAUUAUCCUGGGAUUUGUCUACACAAAAAGGGGCCACGGGUAAGAGAAGACAAACUGAACCAAUAACCAGUCAACCAAACACGAUACUGCCCACGGAAGCAGAGGCCAUUGAGCCGUACAGCGUGAUCAUUCAGACAGAAAAUGGACUUUACACAACUUCAAGAAUACACUGUUUAAAAACAAGGACUAAUAAUGUGUCUGACACAUAAAUGAUUUAGAACAUUAUUUUCCAUGUAUUUAAUCCUUUAUGUGAGUUUAAUAUUUUUAAAGGAAGUGAACUCUCUUGUAAAACAAAUGCAGGUAUAAAAUAAAAUGUGUGAA